rnacentral:rRNA from 1 species
AGCUAAUACCGCAUAACGUCGCAAGACCAAAGAGGGGGACCUUCGGGCCUCUUGCCAUCGGAUGUGCCCAGAUGGGAUUAGCUAGUAGGUGGGGUAACGGCUCACCUAGGCGACGAUCCCUAGCUGGUCUGAGAGGAUGACCAGCCACACUGGAACUGAGACACGGUCCAGACUCCUACGGGAGGCAGCAGUGGGGAAUAUUGCACAAUGGGCGCAAGCCUGAUGCAGCCAUGCCGCGUGUAUGAAGAAGGCCUUCGGGUUGUAAAGUACUUUCAGCGGGGAGGAAGGGAGUAAAGUUAAUACCUUUGCUCAUUGACGUUACCCGCAGAAGAAGCACCGGCUAACUCCGUGC